rnacentral:misc_RNA from 1 species
AAGUCGUAACAAGGUUUCCGUAGGUGAACCUGCGGAAGGAUCAUUACAGAGGUUUAUCCUUAUUUUGUGAAUUUUAUAUCUGGUGUGUAUGUUUGUGAGCGAGAACAAGUGCGGACACGAGUUGAGAUCAUUUAUGAAAGCAAUGAGUCGAACCACCCGUUCAACACCAAACAUAUGCACCAAACUUUACACCAAUUUCUGUCUGAAGAAAAGAAAUGAAAAA